CUUCCUUUAGAAGCCCUUGGUUUCUAGGAGGAAGCACCUCUGACCACUUCUCACUGGCGGUCUUCCUUGGCAUCUCGCUCGUCCCUCUGCCCUCAGUGUAACGGUGUCCAGGUGGUUCCUGCAGCUAUCACCUCUGUUACCUUUGCCCCUUCAUUCUCACUGCAGAUCUCCACAGUCACAUCAGCUCGUCUUGGGGCCUGGCCCCCUGCACUCGGGGGCCGCCCACCCGCCUGGAGCUGUCUCCAGGCCCCACCCGUCUCCUGAUCUCACAGUUGCAUCUGUGUGUUUCUCCGUGGACUAAUCCAUGCGUUGUGAUCCACAGGGACCACAGUGAGCAAGGUCUUGCACCUCACAGGACUCCACCAGUGCCGAACAGGAACUGAACCCGUGGAUGUGACCUCCGGUAGAAAAAACGGUGGCCACCCACAGCCCUUGACUGUGAGCCUCCUUGAGAGCGGCUGGAGCCAGCUCAGGAAAUGGGAACCCCGGAGUGGCACAUCUUGGAAUUCUUGUAUGCACCGGAAGAGUCGGGAGAGGCAUUGUCACAUGAGCUUGAGAACUGUGUGUCUUCUCGUUGGUACUGAGUUCAUGUUUUUUGGGCUACUCAGCCUUCGAGGUGAGUGCCAUGUGGUCUCCUGUGUCAUCUUGAGGGAAGGUGUGUCACCGUGCUCGUUGGUCUGGUGGCUUUGCUGACUAAGCAGGUGUGACUGCCCUCAAGGCGGGCGGGGACCGCGGUGAGCAGAGCUCUGUUCUUCUGCAAAGCAACAAAAUAAUAAAGCUCACAUCCCCAGUACCAAAAGGAGACCCGGGCUGGCCCUGGGAGGAGACCUUUGAGCUGGGCUGAUUGUCACUCUGAUGGGCAGCAGCUGAGUUAGGGGUUAAACCCUUCGAGAUAGAAGUUGAGUUUGUCCUGAGUUUUUCACUCCACAGACGGUGUUACUCAGCCGGGGGCUGGAAGGGGUGGGGGCACAGCAGCCGAAGGCACUGCGGCCACACCUGAAGCCCCUUGGUGCUCGAUGUGGUUUGUCAGUCGGGACCUUAGAUAGGCAGAGAAAUUCUCGCCUCUCGUCAUCAUGGUGCCUUGGGCUCCCUGUGGUUUCUAUGGUUUUCAUGCUUCCUGUGACCUAGUAGAACAGACCAGUGAGUUCUAGGAUUUCACACCUUCAGUUCUGGUUAAACAUGACCCAGAUGAAGAUGAUACCAUAGAAAAUGCAGCUCUGUGUUCCCACUUGUCCUGGUCAUGUCUUCAUAAUAACAAAACCCAACCCAUUUCUCUUGCUUUUGUGCAAACUGUCCGAGUGAUUAGAAUCCCGAGAAAGGCCAGCAACUACCUGCACGUGAUGCUUGGAGAGAAGGUGUCUGGUCACGGAGGUCACGCGUGACUCUCUCCCCCUUCUGCUAAGUUCACUACAGGGUCCUGACAAGUCAAGAAUAGAUGAGGCUGUGAUUAACACGGACAUAAAAAGGUGAUCAAAUGGGCCGCUGAAGUGGUCAUUAACUUAGCAGGUCAGAUGUUUUCACAAAUUUAGGCAAAGUUACCUUCACUAUUGCCACCAUGAUUGCUUGAUUUAAAGCUUUCUCAGGGAACUUAGGAGGCUGAAGUCUGACAGGACGAUGGUCCUGGUUCUGCUGUGGUCCCCACACUCUGUGGCAGAUCUCUGUGUGGAUGCCCCAGAGGUGACCAGCUCCAGGAAGGAAGCCAAUACUGGGACAGCAUCCAUGAAAGUCACUUUUGGAUGCCUGGAGGACAGGACAAGAGGAGGCUGGAAUGAGAGGCCCCUUCUCACAUACCACCGGCCGUGUCCCAGCCCGAGGCGUGAAAUAGACAAAUCCCACCUAAAAUCCAUAUGGAAUCUCAAGGGACCUCGAGUAAUCAAAACAAUCUUGACAAAGAGCACAUUUGGCAGACUCACAGCUUCUGAUGUCAAGACUUCCUUCAAAGCGGUGAUAAGGUGGCCCUGGCCUCAGAUGGACAAAGGGACCGAUGGAAUGGAUGUAGAAUCUCUGGAAAUGAACCUUCAAACAUAUGACAAAAGAUUUCUCCCUCCCCUCCUCUGCCCUCUCCCUUCUCUCCCUCCCUUUCCUUUCCCAUGCUAGGGAUCAAACUCAGAGCUGCUCUACCACUGUGCUGUGUGCUCAGCAUCCCCCCACCUUAAUUUUUUUGUUUUGAGACAGGUCUCAUUAAGGUGCUCAGGUCCAGAGCAGGGGGCAUAAAUCUCAGACUGUUUACAGAUGACUCUCAUCAGGCCGUGCAUCAACCCCAGUCAAGCAGCUUGCUCAGGCCUCUUCCUAAUCCCACCGUGAAGGACGAGCUGUGCGGAUGGGCAGGGUACAGGGAAGAUGCUGGAAGGCGAGGAGGCGGCAGCUGGAGAAGCUCCAAUGCCAUACUAUCUCCAUCCCCGUGGGUCCAGAGUCUAUGUGACACAGAGGAGGAAGGCGGCACAUAUGCCCUGAAACUUGCUCCCGGCAGACAUGAGUCAUCGCCACUGUCCACCCACCGCCACUGUCCACCCACUGUCUUGAUGUUCACGUCCAGAAUGACCCAGCCGAGGCACAGCUAGGAGCGCCGUCCUUCUGCAGGACUCUGCUGUGCUUGGCCCUGGCUGCCCCUCGCUGUGGGCCUCAAAGGGGGGCGACCCAUUGGAGAGAGGGAUACAUUCAGACGUCGUUCUUUGAUGUGUUUUUCCAAACUUGAUGGAAUGGAAAAAGGAAGUUAUUGUCCCUAACCCAGGGAGGAGGAACUGAAAUGAGCUACACAGUCUCAAAAGCAUCACCACCAAGUAUUGGAAAUUUGCCCCUUUUUUGUUGUUGUUGUUGUUUUUUUUUUUUAAAUGCUACAAUCGCAUUCCUGAGCUCCAAGGAUCCUGUUCUGACACGCUUUGAUUUUUUAGUCCUCGCUUUGCUCAGCCCCAACUUGCACAAAAUCCACAAGAAAUGAUGCCUGAGCUCCUCUCAUGCAAAAAGCCCUCAUUUGCCCCCUUGCUCUGAAAUAAAGCAUGAAUU